rnacentral:rRNA from 1 species
AUUGAACGCUGGCGGCAGGCUUAACACAUGCAAGUCGAGCGGGGAAAAGUAGCUUGCUACUGGACCUAGCGGCGGACGGGUGAGUAAUGCUUAGGAAUCUGCCUAUUAGUGGGGGACAACAUCUCGAAAGGGAUGCUAAUACCGCAUACGUCCUACGGGAGAAAGCAGGGGACCUUCGGGCCUUGCGCUAAUAGAUGAGCCUAAGUCGGAUUAGCUAGUUGGUGGGGUAAAGGCCUACCAAGGCGACGAUCUGUAGCGGGUCUGAGAGGAUGAUCCGCCACACAGGGACUGAGACACGGCCCAGAAUCCUACGGGAGGCAGCAGUGGGGAAUAUUGGACAAUGGGGGGAACCCUGAUCCAGCCAUGCCGCGUGUGUGAAGAAGGCCUUUUGGUUGUAAAGCACUUUAAGCGAGGAGGAGGCUACCGAGAUUAAUACUCUUGGAUAGUGGACGUUACUCGCAGAAUAAGCACCGGCUAACUCUGUGCCAGCCGCCGCGGUAAUAC